CCUGCAGUCGCCCGGGAACUCCUACGGCGCCUCCGACCAUGCCCCCCGCCGUAGCCAACCUGGUGAAGAAGUACCAAGCCGCCGCUGCCGCCUUCAUGCCCCCGGCCGCCGGAGCCGUCUGAGGACCCUGUUCCGGAUUUGGAACGUCGGCUCGAGAAAUGUGAAUGUGCUGGACGCUUUCAUUUCGUUAAAGAGUAGUAUUGCGUAUGCUAGACAUAUCAAUAAAGUUAUUUGAAUUCAA